UAAUUUUCCUAAUGAUUUGUCAUUAUUUUUUACAUCUCAAUUUGUUAACCCUUUCUGUUUAACUGUUUGGUUUAUUUUCUGUAUUAAAGUAUUUCUAUCUUCUGUUAAAUUGUAAUUUAAACUCUUCUUCUCUUUUUUUUCCCUCACUUCUGUGAAAAUCAAAAGUGUACAGCAACAAAAGGAUAUAGAUUUUUGUUGAUAUUGCCUGUUUUGUAACAAAUCUUAAUGAUGAUAAUGAUUAUGAAAACAGCAGAAUUUCCUUGUCUUCCAGGUCAACAUUGUAAAUUUUAAUUGUACCCAAAACAAUUGAGAUUGAUCUUCCUUCAUGUCUUUUCUUCUUAAUCAUGUCGUAUGUCGAUUACCAAGUGAUCUGCAAGCCUGAAAAGUCGAUUCAUCACUAGUUGAUUGGUUUGGUUCACUUUAUUUGCAAGCUAAGUUACAAUCAAGCCUUUUAUUUUGUUCACAAUGUAAAAGUUAAUGGAAAAUUGAAGGAUGAGACCAAUGGUUGGGAAGAAGAUUCAGCUCAAGAAAUAAGAAAGAAAUAAAGGGGAAACAAAAGAAAGUGAAAGAAUAGAAGGUCAGACUUCAAUAUUGACCAAUCGAAGUCAAGUCAAUUCUGUUGAUGGGAUAGAAUCUCCCUCAUUUCCGCUAUUUAUCUUCAUUACUGACCUUAAUUUGGAUAUAACGCAUAACAAAAACAUGUAAAACACUCUACACUAAUCCAUCUUAACUCGUACACAGCUUCCGAUCUGGCAAUCCUUUUACAGCUUUAACCUACACCAACAAUAGUUACAUCAACCGCUUAGACAAGCAUUUAUAAGACAAGGAUACCUUUCAAUCAGUAUCUGUGAGAUUUCCUUCCGAUAAUAGUCGUGAUCUUUACACUGGAAUCAUGCAUCAAAUAUUCACACAUUAAAAAAAUUCAUUAUCCACUGAAACCGCAAAAACCAAACCAAAGAGCUGUUUAGGAUAUUCUGAGGAUGCUGAUAAUUUUUUGGAAAUGAAGAUUUCCAACAAAAAAUGCUUACUGUUCAGCUUUCAUCAACUAAGCAUUGAAAUUCGUUCUUAACACUUUAAAGAGAUGGUUGGCAUUCUUUUAACAACAUUAACGAUUGACUAGAAGCAAAUCUUGCAGCAUUGUCGCUGCAGCAUGAAUUAUCCAGAGGAAUGAAGUAAAUGAGAGACUUCGAGAUAAAGAGACAAGAUGGGAAACUUUGUUACAAAAAAAUGUGAAUAUAAACAUCGUUGGAAACUUUGUAACACCUUGACUUGGAUGCAGAUGAAGGUGAAAUAAAUGUUUGUCAAAUUGAAGUUUUCCGAUUGCUCCUCUAAUAUCUUGUAAGAUUAUCUUAAUCGACUUGGAUUUACUCUCUUGCAGCAUCAUUAUCAUCAAUGCUCAUCAUGGUGAUCAUCAUUGCUGCGUUUUAAAGAAAAAAUCCUUCAAACACACAAAAGCGAAGGAAAGGGAAAAAGAAACACUUGGAGAAAAAAGAAGAAGAGAAAUAAAACAUUUUCAAAGUGAAAAAAAGGCGACUGGAAAAGCAAAGGAGAAAGUAAUAAACAGCGAGUCUCUUAAUAAGUUAUGUGAAUGUGUUACACUGUUUUGUGAUUGCUUUACUACAUCUACAAGAUGACUUGUCAUCCUCAUCAUUUUCUUACUCUCUUCCUUCCUUCAUCAUCAUCAUCUUCAAGUGUUUAUAACAAGUCUUUACAAUUGUCUCUUCAUCUCUUUCUCACUGUUAUUUUCUGUGUUUGUCUGUGUUUAUUUCUUUUAUAUAAAAAAAGUGAUGCGUAAUGUGAUAAAUAGUACACAAUUUAGAUACUUUCAUUUCCUAGAUCAUCAAAUUUACUCACUCUUACGCUCUUCCAAUCUUCCUUCAAUCUUCUCUUUGCAUCUUUCUUUAAAAAACAUCACCGUAAUCAUCAUCCUUCUCACUCAAAUACAAUCAACAACCAAACAAAAUCUUUUCAUUUCUUUCACUUUUUUUUUAUUUUAACUCUACCACAGUUUGUCGUUCAACAUUAACGAGGUUAUUUUUUUCUCUUCUCUUCAUUAUUUCUAUUCAACAGUAACAACAACAUUGGGAAAAGGUUAAACAAAGUGACGGUAAACGCUCAUCACUCCACUAUUCUCAUCAUCAUCACCAUCAUCAUUAUCAUCAGUAUCUGACCUUGGUUCAAAUCUGGGUUUGAUAUUUACCGUUAAUUCUGUUAACUCACCUUAAUUCGAGGAAAUUGAAAGGCAAACCAACACAAACAUCAACAUUUAUAACGAAAAAAAGGCGAAAAAAGAUGAGAAUCAAAUCAUAAAGGAGAAAAGCAAAAGUAUCAAAAUUUAGAGUUGACAAAAAGGCACUUGACACCGAGAAGAGGAACAAAAGGCCAAAAUAUCUUUUACCAAUGGUGAUAUUUCAUUGCACGGCAAAAAAGCAGAGUGAAAACUGGAAAAUUGCUCACAAUAGCCAUGACUGUCAACAUGAUAAACCUGAAUUCCACUAAUCGCGGUUUCCGAUAUCUUAAUUUUGAACACUCUGGAAACCCUUUACCAAUGGACCAAUUGAAAGAUGAAAUCAAAUCUAUACACUUGAUUGUCUAACUGGGAAACAUUGGAACAAUCAUGGAAAUCGUUUAUGAAUCAUAAAAAAGUCAACAAAAAGAUAAAUUCAUUAAUGAUCACAAUCAACUAAUUAACCAUUCAUCGUUCAAUUAAAACCUAUGUUAACCUUGCGUUAAUCAAUAAUGUAACCAGAACCAAAUUGAAAACGGUUUGUUGUCUAUCAAAGUCAAUAAUAACUUCUUUUUUUCAUUCAUUCGCAGAUUGGUCUUAAACUGAACAAAAGAAAUGGAGAAAUCAACAUUGAAUCGGUAAUUAAUUAUGUCAUGAAACGAAGUCCAAAAUGAAACCAAUUAAUUGUGAUGCAAAGGGAAAAGAGAAACAAACAAUAAUCAAGAUUAUGGGUCGUCAAGUUAAUGAUGAUUUAAUCACAGUCAACCAAAGUUGAUUAUUAAUCAACAUAUUCAAUCAUGAAGAUGACUUCUUCUUCUUCAUGUUAGAUUCCUGUAAAAACUCAACCUUUUCCUGAUAUUUUUUCAGAAUCUUUCUCCUUUAUAACUCAUCAUAUUCAAUCUCAUUCUGAUUGUUUUCUUGAUAUUUAUAAUAAUGUUUCCUUUCAACUCUUUUUGACCCAAUUGCACACUAUGAAUCAAAUAACAAUACAAUUUUAUAAAAAAAUAGCAAUGAAAUUGAUUCACUAUUUAAUCAAUUGUGAUCAAUAUAUUGAACCAAAACCAGUUAAUCAUUGGUAAGUUAAAGCAACAUUAACAAUAAUAACCAGUAACACCUUCAAAAAGGUAUUAAAAUGUAUUUCUUUUUCUCUCAUUCCAAUGAAAUUCAUAUCAACAUUUCACCUGAUUACUAUAGUUAUUAUCAUUAUUAACUAUUGAAUUGUCACUCUUUAUUGU